AUCCUGGUUCAGGAUGACGGCUGGCGGCGUGCCUAAUACAUGCAAGUCGAGCGAACGGAUGAGAAGCUUGCUUCUCUGAUGUUAGCGGCGGACGGGUGAGAAACACGUGGAUAACCUACCUAUAAGACUGGGAUAACUUCGGGAAACCGGAGCUAAUACCGGAUAAUAUUUUGAACCGCAUGGUUCAAAAGUGAAAGACGGUCUUGCUGUCACUUAUAGAUGGAUCCGCGCUGCAUUAGCUAGUUGGUAAGGUAACGGCUUACCAAGGCAACGAUGCAUAGCCGACCUGAGAGGGUGAUCGGCCACACUGGAACUGAGACACGGUCCAGACUCCUACGGGAGGCAGCAGUAGGGAAUCUUCCGCAAUGGGCGAAAGCCUGACGGAGCAACGCCGCGUGAGUGAUGAAGGUCUUCGGAUCGUAAAACUCUGUUAUUAGGGAAGAACAUAUGUGUAAGUAACUGUGCACAUCUUGACGGUACCUAAUCAGAAAGCCACGGCUAACUACGUGCCAGCAGCCGCGGUAAUACGUAGGUGGCAAGCGUUAUCCGGAAUUAUUGGGCGUAAAGCGCGCGUAGGCGGUUUUUUAAGUCUGAUGUGAAAGCCCACGGCUCAACCGUGGAGGGUCAUUGGAAACUGGAAAACUUGAGUGCAGAAGAGGAAAGUGGAAUUCCAUGUGUAGCGGUGAAAUGCGCAGAGAUAUGGAGGAACACCAGUGGCGAAGGCGACUUUCUGGUCUGUAACUGACGCUGAUGUGCGAAAGCGUGGGGAUCAAACAGGAUUAGAUACCCUGGUAGUCCACGCCGUAAACGAUGAGUGCUAAGUGUUAGGGGGUUUCCGCCCCUUAGUGCUGCAGCUAACGUAUUAAGCACUCCGCCUGGGGAGUACGACCGCAAGGGUG
rnacentral:rRNA from 1 species